AUUCGCCCUUAGAGUUUGAUCCUGGCUCAGGAUGAACGCUGGCGGCGUGCUUAACACAUGCAAGUCGAACGAGAAUCAGUGGAACAAGGAUUCGUCUGAGGGAAGCUGAGGAAAGUGGCGGACGGGUGAGUAACGCGUGAGCAAUCUGCCUUGGAGUGGGGAAUAACGGCUGGAAACAGCCGCUAAUACCGCAUGAUGCAUCUGAGUCGCAUGGUUUGGAUGCCAAAGAUUUAUCGCUCUGAGAUGAGCUCGCGUCUGAUUAGCUAGUUGGCGGGGUAAUGGCCCACCAAGGCGACGAUCAGUAGCCGGACUGAGAGGUUGGCCGGCCACAUUGGGACUGAGACACGGCCCAGACUCCUACGGGAGGCAGCAGUGGGGAAUAUUGGGCAAUGGGCGCAAGCCUGACCCAGCAACGCCGCGUGAAGGAAGAAGGCUUUCGGGUUGUAAACUUCUUUUAUUCGGGACGAAGAAAGUGACGGUACCGAAUGAAUAAGCCACGGCUAACUACGUGCCAGCAGCCGCGGUAAUACGUAGGUGGCAAGCGUUAUCCGGAUUUAUUGGGUGUAAAGGGCGUGUAGGCGGGAAUGCAAGUCAGAUGUGAAAACUCAGGGCUCAACCCUGAGCCUGCAUUUGAAACUGUAUUUCUUGAGUGCUGGAGAGGCAAUCGGAAUUCCGUGUGUAGCGGGGAAAUG
rnacentral:rRNA from 1 species